AGAGUUUGAUCAUGGCUCAGAACGAACGUUGGCGGCGUGGAUUAGGCAUGCAAGUCGAACGAGAAAGUCACCUUCGGGUGGCGAGUAAAGUGGCGAACGGGUGAGUAACGCGUGGGAAAUCUGCCCUUUAGUUGGGGAUAACAGUCCUAACGGACUGCUAAUACCGAAUGUGGAGACGAUGUCGCAUGGCAACGUCUUUGAAGAUGGCCUCUUCUUGAAAGCUAUCGCUAAAGGAUGAUCCCGCGUCCCAUUAGCUUGUUGGUGAGGUAACGGCUCACCAAGGCUUCGAUGGGUAGCUGGUCUGAGAGGAUGGUCAGCCACACUGGGACUGAGAUACGGCCCAGACUCCUACGGGAGGCAGCAGUCGAGAGGCUUCGGCAAUGGGGGAAACCCUGACCGAGCGACGCCGCGUGGGCGAUGAAGGUUGUAAGAUCGUAAAGCCCUGUCAGGAGGGAAGAAAUGCGUCUAGGCAAACAGGCUAGGCGUUUGACGGUACCUCCAAAGGAAGCUCCGGCUAACUCCGUGCCAGCAGCCGCGGUAAUACGGGGGGAGCAAACGUUGUUCGGAAUUACUGGGCGUAAAGGGCGCGUAGGCGGCCUGAUAAGUGGAUUGUGAAAGCCCAUGGCUCAACCAUGGAACUGCAACCCAAACUGUCAGGCUUGAGUCUCGGAGAGGAUGGGGGAAUUCCCGGUGUAGCGGUGGAAUGCAUUGAUAUCGGGAGGAAUACCAGUGGCGAAGGCGCCCAUCUGGCCGAAGACUGACGCUCAGGCGCGAAAGCUAGGGGAGCAAACAGGAUUAGAUACCCUGGUAGUCCCAGCCGUAAACGGUGAUCACUAGGUGUAGGAGGCAUCGACCCUUCCUGUGCCGUAGCUAACGCAUUAAGUGAUCCGCCUGGGGAGUACGACCGCAAGGUUGAAACUCAAAGGAAUUGACGGGGGCCCGCACAAGCGGUGGAGCAUGUGGUUUAAUUCGAUGCAACGCGAAGAACCUUACCUAGAUUUGACAUGCACCCGACCGGUGUGGAAACACACCUUCUCUUCGGAGCGGAUGCACAGGUGCUGCAUGGCUGUCGUCAGCUCGUGUCGUGAGAUGUUGGGUUAAGUCCCGCAACGAGCGCAACCCUUGUCCUUAGUUGCUAGCGAGUAAUGUCGAGCACUCUAGGGAGACUGCCGUCGAUAAGGCGGAGGAAGGUGGGGAUGACGUCAAGUCCUCAUGGUCCUUACAUCUGGGGCUACACACGUGCUACAAUGGGCGUUACAAACGGUUGCAAUACCGCGAGGUGGAGCCAAUCUGAAAAAAACGUCCUCAGUUCGGAUUGCAGUCUGCAACUCGACUGCAUGAAGGUGGAAUCGCUAGUAAUCGCUGAUCAGCAGGCAGCGGUGAAUAUGUUCCCGGGCCUUGUACACACCGCCCGUCAAGCCACGAAAGUUGGCAGUACCCGAAGUCGCUCUCCUAACCGUUCGCGGAGGGAAGUGCCUAAGGUAAGGCUAGCGAUUGGGGCUAAGUCGUAACAAGGUA
rnacentral:rRNA from 1 species